rnacentral:lncRNA from 1 species
AGCCCUUCAACUCAACUACACAAGGACACCGAGGGCUGCGUCCUAAAUGCACAAGGACACCGAGGCUGCUUCCUAAAAUAGCACACUAUUCCUUAUUUAACGCACUGCUUUUUAUUUUUUUAGCAAGUAGUGCACUACAAAGGGAAUAGGGUGCCAUAGGGCUCUGCUCUAAAGUAGUGCACCAUAUAGGGAAUAGGGUGCCAUAGGGCUCUGGUCUAAAGUAGUGCACCAUAUAGGGAAUAGGGUGGUAGCCCUGGUCUAAAGUAGUACACUAUAUAGGGAAUAGGGCUCUGGUCUAAAGUAGGAAUAGGGUGGGCCCUGGUCUAUAGUCGUAUUCCCUAUAUAGUGCACUACUUUAGACCGGAGCCCUAUGGCACCCUAUUCCCUAUGUAGUGCACUACUUUAGACCAGGGCCCUAUGAGUUCUUGUCACUAUAAAGGGUACAGGGUGCCAUUUGGAACGUGUCCAUUGUGUUACAGAACGAUACAUCUUGCUAUUUCUCUGACCUCAUUGGCUCACGGACAGAGAGGGAGGGUUUCCAUUGGUCGAGGGGUCUUUUUGAUUGACAGGCGUGACAUUGAGGGUCUGUCAUUGUGGGUGGUACUGUACCGCACAGUGGGGCAGGGGCCACACACACGACACACGACACACACACACACACACACACACACACACACACACACUCUCUCUCUCUUUGUCCUCUGCAGAGCGGUGAAACCCCCUGUCCCCAGGGGAGACACAACCUGCUGUUCCAAUACAACCUCUCCCUGCUCCCUCUUUCCUUCUCCUGUCUGUCUCUCUCUCUCUCUCCCUGUCUGUCUCUCUCUCUCUUUCUCUCUCCCUCUCCCUCUCCUCUCUCUCUGUCUCUCCCUUUUUCCCUCUCCUCUCUCAAUCUCUGUCUCUCUCUCUCUCCUCUCCUCUCUCUCAAUCUCUGUCUCUAUCUUUCUCUCUCUCUCUCUCUCCUCUGUCUCUCUGUCUUUCUGUCUUUCUCUCUCUCUCUCUCUCUCUCUCCUCUCUCUCUCUGUCUUUCUGUCUUUCUCUCUCUUUCCUCUCUCUCUGUGUCUCUCUGUCUUUCUCUCUCUCUGUAUUAUCUCCAUAUCUUUCUUCCCCUCCUUCCCCUAAUCUCAUCAUAUCUCCCCCUCGUCUGUCCUGUCCUCUCUAUUUAUUAUUUUUCAUUUUCUCCUCCUCCUCCUCCUCCUCCUUCUUCUUCUUCUCCUCCUCCUCCUUCUUCUCCUCAUCCUCCUCCUCCUCCUUCUCCUUUUCCUCCUCCUUCUCCUCCUCCUCCUCCUCCUCCGUCCUUCUCCUCCUCCUCCUCCUUCUUCGCUCCUCCUUUUCCUCCUCCAUCCUUCUCCUUCUCUUCCUCCUCCUUCUUCUUCUCCUCCUCCUCUUCCUCCUCCGUCCUUCUCCUCCUCCAUCCUUCUCCUCCUCCUUCUCAUCCUUCUCCUUUUUUACAUUUACAUUUUAGUCAUUUAGCAGACGCUCUUAUCCAGAGCAACUUACAGUAGUGAAUGCAUACAUUUCAUACAUUUUUUUCCCCCGUACUGGUCCCCCGUGGGAAUCGAACCCACAACCCUGGCGUUGCAAACACCAUGCUCCUCCUCCUCCUUCUCCUCCUCUUCUCUUCCUCCUCCAUCCUUCUCCUCCUUCUCCUUCUCCUCCGUCCUUCUCCUCCUCCUCCAUCCUUCUCCUCCUUCUCCUUCUCCUCCGUCCUUCUCCUCCUCUUCCUUCUCCUCCUCCUCCAUCCUUCUCCUCCUUCUCCUUCUCCUCCGUCCUUCUCCUCCUCUUCCUUCUCCUUCUCCUCCAUCCUUCUCCUCCGUCCUCCUCCUCCUUCUCCUUCUUCUCUUCCUUCUCCUUCUUCUCUUCCUUCUUCUGACAGUAACAAUAAUAAUUCUCUCUUCUUUUGGCUUUUCAGAUCUCAUAAUAAUAUCAUAAUAUUCACCGUUCUGUCAGAAACUGGAAAAGAAUCAGGGUUGUGCAUCCCAAAUAACACCCUAUCCCUUAUAUAGUGCACUACUUUUGACCAGGGACCAUAGGGUAAUAGUGCACUAUAUAUAAGGGAAUAGGUUGCUUAGCGAUACCCAGUGAGGUCGUUCGUUCCGAAGGCAAACCCUUUUCUGACCGUCUUCCUGUUCUGUAGGUCUGUGUUCCACCUGGACUUGUUUCAAUGCUUUUUAAAAAAAAAAAAUCACAUCUUCAAAUGCAUUUCAUUCACAAAUAGAAAUAUACAGUCUUUGUUUUCUAAAGACAAGACGCAUCAUCGUAUUAUUGACCCGCGAACGAUUCAAUCGUUAUCUCGAAGGUUAGUUACCAUUAUAUCUCCCACUUCUGACUGGAGGAUCAAACCGCCGAAAUAUUUCCGUACUAAAAUCUGAUCCCAAAAAAAUUUGAUGUACAUUUUUAUGAUUUAUUUAUUCAUAUUUUUUAUUUUUUGUGUAUCUCAAUAUAAAACCGUGACGAGAUAAAAGAAAAACGCCUUCCUAAAAACCACAACAUUUAAAUAUCACAGUGACGACGACAACUACAAAUUUGUGGCACAAAUGAUAUUUACAAUAAAUCAACGUUACAAUAUUAUAAUAUUCACGCUGGAGCCUUUAGUAACUUAAAUAAAAAUAAAUGAAACAAAAUAAAAAUGUACUCAACUAAAUGGCACCGUAUGUCCUUACAUACAGUGAUACCCUACAUUUUGACCAGGGCCCGUUGGAAAACCUGCACAGAAAACUGUGGCCUUCUCUGAACAAUCUGACAUCAUAGAUGGGACAUUCUAGAACCACUAGAAGGGACAUUCUAGAACCACUAGAAGGGACAUUCUAGAACCACUAGAAGGGACGUUCUAGAACCACUAGAAGGGACAUUCUAGAACCACUAGAAGGGACAUUCUAGAACCACUAGAAGGGACAUUCUAGAACCACUAGAAGGGACAUUCUAGAACCACUAGAAGGGACGUUCUAGAACCACUAGAAGGGACAUUCUAGAACCACUAGAAGGGACGUUCUAGAACCACUAGAAGGGACAUUCUAGAACCACUAGAAGGGACAUUCUAGAACCACUAGAAGUCCUCGGUUCCACAACUUCCUGUCAACACGUUUUUAACCUUUUCACAUUUUAAAGACAACAGAAAGAUGAUGAAAUGUUUAAAAAAAAAAAAAAAAGCUAAAUUUGGUUUUAAAAAUCUUUUUUUGGUUUGUUUGUUUGUCUAAAUGAAAGGAGAGAAUUACCUCCAGAGCUGAGAAUGAAAACAUAUCUGUAGCCAUCACCAAAGCCUGAGUCUAAAAGCCUGUUUUAAACUAAAGAUACACUUGUAUCAGUGUGAGGAAAAUGUCAAAACUUGUUACAUCCAAAAAUAAGAAUUAAAAUACAAAAAUAACAGAAAAUAUUCAAAACCUUCAAUAUUGUGGAAGGGGACGAUUUAAAACAAUGUCAAAAUGAAAAAAAAUGAAAAAUACUUAUUUAAAAGAAAAAUGUGUAUGUUUUUUUUUUAAUUCAAAUUUUCUAGUGUCAAAAAACUAAAUCUUGCUGUGUUUUUCUCCUCUCUGUCUCUGUCUCGUGGCGUCUUAAUAUUUGAAUGUAUUUUUUCUGACAAUUUGCCAAAGAUAUCACGUCACUGAAUUUCUCUCUUUUUUGAAUUUUGGUUUUCAACAUUUUUUUUUUGUUCUGUAAAACUGGAAAUAAAUAAAUAAGUGACUUUGAUAUUAUGCUUAUUUUUGUUUUUAUAUAUAUAUAUAUAACUGUUGUUAUUGUUAAUAAUAAUGAUUAUAAUAUUAUUUUAGUUCUUAUGGGGUUGAUUUGUUCUUGUGAAAUGUUGACUUGCAGUUCGCUGGGUGCAUCUAUUGUUACACAAUCAGUCUAUGGUAAGGGUCCUAAAUAACACCCUAAAAUCUCUUUUUUAUAACAGUGUACUUCUAUUGAAAAGUAGUGCACUACAAAGGGAAUAGGGUGGGAUUUAAGCCAGAUUGUAAUAUGUGCAUCUGUCCUCCUGACCAACAGAGUGUGUGUGUGUGUGUGUUUUGUGAAUCUUGGAUUUAUGUACUGUACGGUGAAGAAACAAAGUCAAUAUUUGUAAAUAUUUGCCAUAAUUUUAUUGGGUUCUUCAGAAUAAAAGUGUUUUUUUUUGUUUUUUUUUACAGUUCAAAUGUUCUGGGUCCAUGCUGUCCUUGCUUUCAUCUUAACGACCAACACACUACACACACAC